GGUUUUGAAAUUUCCUAUUUUAAGAUUUUCAUGCAGAAUGUUGCUCUUGAUUUGUGUUUGCCCUUAUAGUUCUUGAUUAUUGGGACAGAGGCUGCUCUUAGGAACUAUUAGCAAUUUAGCAUUCCAAUCGAUAUCUCAUAUCUGUGUGGAUGGAGCUUUGGAGGGAGGUAUUUGUCUGUCUUAGAUUGACCUAUCGUCUGCUUAAAACUUGAGAUUAGUAUGUUUUUUGUGCUUGUUGAAAAAUUCUAGUCAUCACUUGCUAGUGUUGAGAGAUUAUGGACGUCACUUGCUAGUUGGGGUCAUAAUCUUACAUGCAGACAUUUGUCUCGUGUUUGUGUGCUUGGAAUUUUAUAGUGAUAUUUUGUGAUUGUAGGCAGCUGUAGGUAUUUUCUACUUUUUGAAGCUCUGUUGACUAAUGCAUAUUAAAUUGUUUUAUUGUCUUGGAAUUUUUGCUUCCAAUAUCUUUUUAUAGUUUGUUUGAUCAGGGUCUCUUGGAUUUUUUUGCUUCCACUAUCUUUUUGUAGUUUGUUUGAUCUGGGUCUCUUGGAUUGUCAAUUUUGGAAUCCUGCCUCAAGGAAAUUUGCUUCCUGGUUCUUAUCGUAUCACUUAAAAAUAUUUAGUUUUGGAUUUUUUAGAAUUCUGUGUAGUUAAUGUCACUGAGCAUUGUCUUUUUGACCCUUUAUUAUUUUAGAUGUUGAUGUGUUACCAGUUUCCAAAAUUAAGAGCAGGAAGGGCAAGGAUGAAGGCUCUUGCUGCAAUUGAAAUGGGGGUGUUUUUUCUUAAAUGUUUUCAUACACUUCUUUUAUUCUUUGUUUUGGAACUUCUUAUUUUUCUAGUUUUUCGUGUAGUGUACUGCUUUUUGUUUGCUUUCUUGCGCUCAUGCAUUCUUGACUCUUGGGUCUGCAGAGGCUGCUGUUAGAAAUUAUUAGCAACAUGCUGGGAGAAUGAGAUCUUAUAUAGCUCUGUUAUGGAGCUUGUGAAGGAGGGACUGGGUAAGUAGAUGAGAAGGUAGCAGAUACUUAUUCUGGUUUUUAAAGCUCUGCCACUAAUUUUUAUGUCAGUUGUGGUUUCUGGGAGAUUGGUUUUCUGGUUCUUCUCAUAUUUCAUUAUAGUCUUUUUGUUUUGUAGCCUUUAGGAUCCUGUGGAGUUAUGUUACUGAGCAUGAUAUGAUGUUAUUGACUGUUUUAUUAUUUUAGAUGCUGAUGCUAUCAUUUUCCAAAACUAAAAGGCGGAAGGAUAAGGAUGAAGGAUACUGCAGUGGCUGUUGCAAGAGGUAUGCUGCUUUUGGUUGCUUUUUUUGCCCCUUACAUUUUGGGUGUUCAGAGGCUGCUUUUUGGGGUUGUUAGCAUUACACCGGGAGAAGAAGAUCGUUUAUAGUUCUGUUAUCUCGUAUCUUUGUGGUUGACGCUUGGAAUGGAGGAAUUAGUUAAGUAUCUUUGUGGAUGGAGCUUGGGAUGGAGGGAUUAGGGAAGUAUCUUUGUGGACGGAGGGAUUCACUUCCUGGUUCUUUUGGGUCUCUUGGAUUUUCAAUGUUGGAAUACCGUCUCAAUUCUCAAGGAGAUUGGCUUCCUGGUUCUUCUCAUAUUUCUUUAUACUCUUUUUGUUUUGGAGCUUUUAGUAGCCUGUGGGGUUAUGUUACUGAGCAUGGUAUGAUGUUAUUGACUUUUUUAUUAUUUUAGAUGCUGAUGUUAUCAUUUUCCAAAACUAAAAGGAGAAAGUAAGGAUGAAGGAUAAUGCAGGUUGUUUUGUUGAAAGUUCUUCAUAUUUGUAUUCUUAGUUUUUAAUGCCUUCUAUAUCUGUUAUGGCUUUUUUUGAUCUGGGUGUCUUGGAUUUUCAAUUUAUAUUCACCUUCAGCAUGUAACAUAGAAUUUAUACUAUGGUGUAUUUUUAUUUAAAAUUUCUUUUUACCUUUGUUUCAGGGCCUCUUAGUUUUUAAUGCUUUCAAUAUCUCUUAUGGCUUUGUUUGAGCAGGGUCUCUUGGAUUUUCAAUUUUGGAAUACUGUCUCAAUUCUCAAGGAGAUUGGCUUCCUGGUUCUUCUCCUAUUUCUUGAUAGUCUUUUUGUUUUUCAGCUUUUAGGAUCCUGUGGAGUUAUGUUACUGAGCAUGAUAUGAUGUUAUUGACUAUUUCAUUGUUGUAGAUGCUUAUGUUAUCAUUUUCCAAAGCUAGGAGAAAGGAUAAUUUGUUUGAUCAGGGUCUCUUGGAUAUUCAAUUUUGGAAUGCCUCAACUCCUAGGAGACUUGCCUCAACUCCUAGGGUCUCAAUUUUGGAAUGCCUCAACUCUUGGAUAUUCAAUUUUGAGUGAUACGAUAUGAAAUAGGAAACUAUUUCAUAUCGUAUCACUCAAAAUUCUUUAGUUUUGGAGUUUUUAGGAUCCUGUGUAGUUAAUGUCAGUGAGCAUGAUAUGAUUUUUUGUCUCUUCAUUAUUUUAGAUGCUGAUGUGUUAUCAGGUUCCAAAAUUGAGAGCAGGAAGGGCAAGGAUGAAGGAUCUUGCUGCCAGUUGGAAUGGGGGUUAUUUUUACUUUAUUGUUUUGCACUUCUUUUAUUCUUUGUGUUGGAAUGUAUUCUUUUUCUAGUUUUUCAUGCCAUAUAUUACUUUUUGAUUGCUUUUUGUGCUUACGUGUUCUUGAUUCUUUGGUCUCCAGAUGCUGCUGUUUGAAAUUAUUACCAAUAUGUAGGCGGAAUGAGAUCCUAUAUAUUGUGUUAUGUCUUUGUGGAUGGAGCUUGGGAAGGAG
rnacentral:sRNA from 1 species